GAUAACACGUUGAUGAGAAGAGUAUGUUAAACCCUCACUUUCAGAGAGAAGAUAUAUUAGCUGUAAAUAUCUUUAUUUGAGAUUAACAGAAAACUAACUCUGAGUGGCUCUAAUCCAGCCCGUAUUUGUCACGUUACGACAUAUUUGAGUGAUUCUUAAAAUUUUAAGAAUAACUAGAGUGGAACCACGGAUAUUACACUUCGUCUCUAUA
rnacentral:ncRNA from 1 species